CCUCUCGUAGCUCAGCGGUUAGAGCAGAAAACUCAUAAUUUUAAGGUCCCUGGUUCGAAUCCAGGCGGGAGGA
rnacentral:tRNA from 1 species